AUCCCAGGCUCAUCUUGGACCUUCCCUGCUUUAGGCCUGGAAUUAGCCAUUUCUCCAAGGGCCUCUGAAAAAUGCUAUUCAAAA